GAAAUGCGAUAAGUAAUGUGAAUUGCAGAAUUCAGUGAAUCAUCGAAUCUUUGAACGCACAUUGCGCCCGCCAGUAUUCUGGCGGGCAUGCCUGCUCGAGCGUCAUUUCAACCAUCAAGCCCCCGGCUUGUGUUGGGGACCUGCGGCUGCCCGCAGGCCCUGAAAAACAGUGGCGGGCUCGCUGUCACACCGAGCGUAGUAGCAUACAUUCUCGCUCAGGGCGUGCUGCGGGUUCCGGCCGUUAAACGACCUUCAUAACCCAAGGUUGACCUCGGAUCAGGUAGGAAGACCCGCUGAACUUAAGC
rnacentral:misc_RNA from 1 species